GACGAACGCUGGCGGCGUGCUUAACACAUGCAAGUCGAACGGAAAGGCCCUGCUUUUGUGGGGUGCUCGAGUGGCGAACGGGUGAGUAACACGUGAGUAACCUGCCCUUGACUUUGGGAUAACUUCAGGAAACUGGGGCUAAUACCGGAUAGGAGCUCCUGCUGCAUGGGGGGGGUUGGAAAGUUUCGGCGGUUGGGGAUGGACUCGCGGCUUAUCAGCUUGAUGGUGGGGUAGUGGCUUACCAAGGCUUUGACGGGUAGCCGGCCUGAGAGGGUGACCGGCCACAUUGGGACUGAGAUACGGCCCAGACUCCUACGGGAGGCAGCAGUGGGGAAUAUUGCACAAUGGGCGGAAGCCUGAUGCAGCAACGCCGCGUGCGGGAUGACGGCCUUCGGGUUGUAAACCGCUUUCGCCUGUGACGAAGCGUGAGUGACGGUAAUGGGUAAAGAAGCACCGGCUAACUACGUG
rnacentral:rRNA from 1 species